CCUACGGGAGGCUGCAGUGGGGAAUAUUGGACAAUGGGCGAAAGCCUGAUCCAGCCAUGCCGCGUGUGUGAAGAAGGCCUUCGGGUUGUAAAGCACUUUCAGUGGGGAAGAAAGCCUUGGGGCUAAUACCCUCGAGGAAGGACAUCACCCACAGAAGAAGCACCGGCUAACUCCGUGCCAGCAGCCGCGGUAAUACGGAGGGUGUGAGCGUUAAUCGGAAUUACUGGGCGUAAAGCGCGCGUAGGCGGUCUGAUAAGCCGGUUGUGAAAGCCCCGGGCUCAACCUGGGAACGGCAUCCGGAACUGUCAGGCUAGAGGGCAGGAGAGGAAGGUAGAAUUCCCGGUGUAGCGGUGAAAUGCGUAGAGAUCGGGAGGAAUACCAGUGGCGAAGGCGGCCUUCUGGACUGACACUGACGCUGAGGUGCGAAAGCGUGGGUAGCAAACAGGAUUAGAUACCCGAGUAGUC
rnacentral:rRNA from 1 species